rnacentral:rRNA from 1 species
UGGGGAAUUGUUCGCAAUGGGCGCAAGCCUGACGACGCAACGCCGCGUGGAGGAUGAAGACUUUCGGGUCGUAAACUCCUUUCGACCGAGAUGAAUUUCCCGCGACCUAACACGUCGCGGGAGUGACAGUAUCGAGGGAAGAAGCCCCGGCUAACUCCGUGCCAGCAGCCGCGGUAAUACGGGGGGGGCAAGCGUUGUUCGGAAUUACUGGGCGUAAAGGGUUUGUAGGUGGCUUGUUAAGUCAGACGUGAAAUCCCUCAGCUUAACUGGGGAACUGCGUCUGAUACUGGUGAGCUUGAGUGCAGGAGAGGAACGCGGAAUUCCAGGUGUAGCGGUGAAAUGCGUAGAUAUCUGGAGGAACACCGGUGGCGAAGGCGGCGUUCUGGACUGCAACUGACACUGUAAAACGAAAGCCAGGGGAGCAAACGG